UUCUACUUAAUCCAAUCUCGGAUACAUGAUAGAAGAGCCUCAAUUGUUUUGAUAUUCAAUUUGCUCCGGUGUUUAUCAACCAGCUGAUUGGUCUCUUGCUGAGAAGAAUCUCAAGCAUUGCCAUGAAGUUGUUUAUCCCAAUCAAUAAUAAUCGUACAAUGAAUCCUUUAAAACUCACCUUCUUAAACUUCACAAAGUAGGCCCAACUUGGCAGGUAUGGUAACAACAAAUUCGUCG
rnacentral:lncRNA from 1 species